CAAAUAGGAGUCCCAACCUAUAUACAUAUUCAAUUGCCUAUACAAGACUUGCUUAUACCACUUCUGAAUAUGCUAUUUACCUUGAGACUAAACAUUUAACUGUAACCCCAAACCAGAUUCAUAAUAUGCAAAUGCCAGCUCAUAUAACACUUAUCAUUACAGUUUUACUACAUAACGUUAAAGCAGUAGGAACAGGGAAACACUAAAUUAAGCACAACUUGUAUUCCAUCAAGUUUCUACUCGAAUUACACAGUCAACAUGAGCCAGAGAGAUACCUGGAAAGCAAAAAAUAACAGAAAGAUGAGAAGGUCAGCAACAGGAAAUAGCAGUCAGCCUAGAUUCAACCACUCAGCAGAUGAAAUCAGCUCAGGAAUGCCAAUGGAACAGUAGAAAAAAAAGUCCAAAAAACCAGCUCUAUACCAACUCUUGAAGUCCUAGAUUCAAAACCUCUCUAAUCAGAUGCCAUGACUUGAAAAUAACCUUCUCAGAAAUUUUUUAAACUAACACCAGAAAUCCAGAAGCUGAAUUUUGAUGUAAUUCAAGCAGUCUCAACAAAAGAAUCCAGAAAAUCAAGUUGUCGGUCUUUUUUCCUCUAAAAAAAAAUCCUCUUGAGCUUGAAAAAAUGAAUACCUUUAUAGGCAAAGCACUAGGGCAGCCUAAAGAAAUCAGAUUUUUCAUUUUGACAUUUUUCAUAUUUUCGUUUUGCUCCAAGUUGCUUAGUUUAAAACAUCAGAUUUCAUAUAAGUCCCCACCCCAGCUUCCUAGAAGCUUCCUAAUUCAGUUACAAGAGAUUCUUUCAUCUAGACUCUCUGAACUACCCCUUUAACCUAAGUUAUUUACCCUUCAACUCCUGGGUCAAAUUGACCCAAAUAGAAAUCCCAAAUCAGCUUUGCAAACCUGGCCUUAUUCCCCUUUCUGGGCCUCUGUUGACAGAGCCCAAAUCCUACUCAAAAUCAAAACUCACAAAAGAAUUAAUGAGCUGAAUGGAUUUGCCCAAAAUCGGAAAACUUCAAAAUGGAACCCAAAACAAACGAGGCAGAAUUAAGACUAAACAUGAAUCGCAACUAACAUGAUUUUACCCUAAUCAUGCAAAACAGAACAAUGCUUACAGAACGAAAAAUAAUGACAAAAGAACAGAUGAAGCAGAAGGAGAUGAGGUCGGGGAGAAGAACAAAAGGACGAAAAAAACAAAGUAAAAGAGAGAUGAUACCUAUAGUAGACAGCAAACGAAUAUGGCUUGAAGAAUGAUUCUGA
rnacentral:lncRNA from 1 species